rnacentral:lncRNA from 1 species
GAGCAAGACAGAGAGCCUUGGGGGAUGGGCACCAUGAUUGCUUUUUACCGCACCUGCCACAGAGAAAACCUCCUGGACACUGCACAGGUGAAGAUUUUCCUGCUUCCCCAUUGCCUUCUGCCAUGAUUGUAAGUUCCCCGAGGCCUCCUCAGCCAUGCUUCCCAAACAGCCUGUGGAACGAGAAAAGGCCAUGUGAUGACCUGGUGAGAAGGUGGCAAUCUGCAAGCCAAGAAGAGGGCUUUCACCGGAAACAAACUCUUCCAGAUCUUAAUUGUGGAUUUCUAGCCUCCAGAAUGAUAUUCUUUCAGAUACUGUGUACUGAUGAAACUGCUGACUCAGCUGGUCUGAAGGACCCCACUGGCACUGGCUGGUCUGAAGGACCCUGCUGAUCACAACUUGCCUGAAGGACCCUACUGACAUCAGCUGUUGUCCAAAGGACGCCACAAGAAACUGACUCACCAAAAAAUGCAUCCUGAUGAUUUCAUCCCCCUUAACCCGACCAAUCAACAACCCCAAAUCUACACAGCCCCUUUCCCUCCAUGAUUCCUACAAAACUCCAGCCCAGAACUCCUCAGGGAGAUGGAUUUGAAGGUCUCCUCCCUUCUACUUGCUUGAUGCCCUAUUAUUAUUAAACUCUUUGCUACAAACCCUGCUG